GAUCACCAGGUAGCAUUCCUCGUUGACAUAACCCGCCCGCUGGUACAAGCCAACACGGGACAGGCAGGUCGUUCAAGGUGAUGCGCCACUCUCUGACAUACCCUCCUGAUGGCAAAGCCAAUUCGGGCAAGACAGCAAGUCAUGUUAACGUCGACAAACCCUCCUGAUGGCAGAGCCACACCAAAGCGAGACAGCAAGUCAUGCUAACGUUGACAAACCCUCCUGAUGGCAAAGCCACACCAAGCGAGACAGCAAGUCAUGCUAACGUUGACAAGCCCUCCCGAUGGCAAAGCCAAUUCAGGCAAGACAGCAAGUCAUGUUAGCGUUGACAAACCCUCCCGAUGGCAAAGCCAAUUCAGGCAAGACAGCAAGUCAUGUUAGCGUUGACAAACCCUCCCGAUGGCAAAGCCAAUUCAGGCAAGACAGCAAGUCAUGUUAACAUUGACAAACCCUCCCGAUGGCAAAGCCAAUUUCAGGCAAGACAGCAAGUCAUGUUAACGUUGACAAACUCUCCCGAUGGCCACAGCCAUGUCAAGCGAGACAGCAAGUCGUGUUAACAUGGACAAACCCUCCCGAUGGCAAAGCCAAUUCAGGCAAGACAGCAAGUCAUGUUAAGAGCGGCGCAAACGCUAAAUGAGGGCAAAACAUGGAUCCCAUAGGACCCAUGCCCACAUCGUUUUCCAUAUCCAGGAUACCAAGCAACGCUCAAUGGGCCACAACAUCAACGCAGGCGUCAACAAUGUGGAUCAAAGAGACCGCUUCGUGGUUCAUCCGAUGCCACAAGAAUGACACAAGACGAAAUCAACUUUAAUCAACCAAGACAAUACCAUAGCUUAGGUAGGCAACACAGAAACCAACAUUUUGGCUAGGCAAUACAAGCCUAAACAA
rnacentral:misc_RNA from 1 species